UCCACUUGCAAUUUAAUAAACUGCAGUUCAAAAUCCCUUUUCCACCUGCAAUUUAAUAAACUGCAGUUCAAAAUCCAUUUCCCUUUCCUGUUCGCUCCGGGAUUAGCUGCUGGAUUAGCUGCUGGAUUAGCUCUUCGAUUAACAACUUGCUGGAGGCUAUUCAAAUUAGCCACACCGUGGGAUGUAAGGAGCUCUCUGAUUGGUUGGUCAGACACAGGCUGUCUGCCAGCCUGGAUUUUUCUAGCUCAUAGCUUCGCCCUGCUAAGAAGCGUGUGUGCUUGUACAAAGGCCGUUCAGCCUCGGGAUUUACACUCGGCUCGACACGGAUAUGUGAAGAAUGAAGGGACCCUGCAGCGAAACGGAGAGCGCAACCUCUGACUGAGUGCCUGUCUACACAGUCUGACCACCUGUUGAAGGGCUGUUUGAUGACGAUUUGGACUCCUCUGGGAGAUGAGGACACACCCACAUCUGUUCCAUACUGCAGCCAUGGAUGGUGUUACAGCUCCGAGUCAGCUUUGGGCCAUCAGACGCACACACUGGAAAACCAGCACCUGGACUUCAUGCAGGAGAGAUGGCCUCAGUGAUGUAGGUUCAUAAAAUUCAUCAGCAGCUGUGAAGAGAUGCAUUUGAAUAUCUUCUGGUUCCACUUUUCCUAACCUGGAAGCUGAGGAUGGCUGAUUUCUGACAAGGACACACACCUCAGCG